rnacentral:misc_RNA from 1 species
CAUCGUAAAGAGCCACGUCCCCCACAGAACGAUGGACUGUUGCUGGGCGUCGAGCGGCAGGCGGGGACGUCUCUGCCAGACUGCGGCCACCAACCCCACCACCGCCAGCGGCAGGAGCCAACCCGCCUGUGCGGCGAGCUGCUGGUUCAAGAGCCUCAAAGGGCCGGGCUCGCCGUUCUCGCUGGCCCCGCCCGGUCCGCCACCCGGAGG